rnacentral:rRNA from 1 species
AUUGAACGCUGGCGGCAGGCCUAACACAUGCAAGUCGAAAGAGUGGCGGACGGGUGAGUAAUGUCUGGGAAACUGCCUGAUGGAGGGGGAUAACUACUGGAAACGGUAGCUAAUACCGCAUACCAUCAGAUGUGCCCAGAUGGGAUUAGCUAGUCGGUGGGGUAAUGGCACACCUAGGCGACGAUCCCUAGCUGGUCUGAGAGGAUGACCCGCAACACUGGAACUGAGACACGGUCCAGCCUCCUACGUGAGGCAGCAGUGGUGAAUAUUGCACAAUGGACGCAAGCCUGCUGCAGCCAUGCCGAGUGUGUGAAGAAGGCCUUCGGGUUGUAAAGCACUUUCAGCGAGGAGGCGUUACUCGCAGAAGAAGCACCGGCUAACUCCGUUCCAGCAGCCGCGGUAAUUC